rnacentral:lncRNA from 1 species
AAUAACUCUUUAUCCCCAUUUUAUAUCCAAACGUUAAUUUUUUAUUCAAAAAUAGUAUUUCUCAGUUAUCUAUAAUAAUCGAGUAUAACUAUUCCGACCAACACCUUCAUUUUCUAUAUAUAACUAUCCAUUAUUUUUCUAUUCUAUAUUAUUUAUCCAAACGUUAUUUUUUUUAUCCCCGGGAACAACCCAAUUUUUAUCCAAACGCUAUUUUUCUUAUUCCCAUAUUUCUACCUAUUCAUGUAAUAACUAGUUCUUGUUUAUAUCCGAACCAAACGCUAGUCAUUUUUAACAAUAAAGCUUUUGAAUAGACGAUCUGUUUCGUUAGACUUAAUUUAUCAUAUUUAAAAUAUCUAAAAAAUAAAUUUUAUAAUUUUUCUAUAUUAUUUACCUAACAAUCGAAAUGAUUCAAAAUCAAUAAUUUUUAAUAGUUUAUAUUUAUUGUUUGCAAAUUUAACAGUGUAUAAGUAUUCAAAUCAGAUAAAAUUUUGAUAGAAAAUUCUUUAUACUAUUUAUUGUAAGAUCAAUAUCUCUUAUCCAAAAUUUUAGUGUUAUAUCACCACUUUUCGGGAGAUUUUUAUUUUCGCGAGAUUUUUAUUCAAUCGCUAUGUAAAUGAUAUCGAAAAAUUGUAAAAUUUAUUUUCUAAAUACUGCAAAUAUGGUAAAUCAAGUCUAAUAGAGCUGAUCGUCGAUUCAGAAGCUCCAUCAUUAAAAACGGCUUAGGAACACGAUACAACAGACAAGACCUAUAUAUACUUGUAAUAUCAAAUUAGCUAU